CAUCAAGGCCCAAACGAGGCCCAAAUUGGCUUCAAGGGGUGUCUGCCCGAGAGAGGUGCAGAAAGGAAUUGGUUCGGGUCUUAGGCCUAAACCGUUAGGACUCGAAGCGGCACAUGUCAAUCUCUACAGCAACGUUUGUGAUAUUCCACACUACGGUGGUACACUCCUCGAGCUGCUCUUCCAUCAUUCCAUCAUCAACCGCGUCUAAUCACACCUUGUUCAGUCGUGGAUGAAUCACCAUAAUGUCUUUCUUUGAGGAAUCCGGCACGGCGGUGUAUCCCUCAUCUUUUAGCUUCGCAUUCAUCAAUUUCAUUUCGUCACUCUGCGGCCACUAUUCAUGGAUUCACGUCGUUCUUCACUCAGUCAGUGCUCGCCGAUGCGCAUCUCGAUUUGGUUCGUUCUCCUCUCAACAAUUUCUACUGCUAACUUAAUGGCGUCGACGCAGAAUCGAAACUAUUUGCAUAAUGAAACAGGAAAAAUGAAGACUUACCGGUCUCACCGCGGUGUUAACAACAGGUGUCGAUUGUGCUUCUUUCCGUUUACGUACUUGGUUUGGUUUAGCUUAUGUUUGCAGCUUACGCUCUGCCAGUUGGUUUUUUAGAAGGGACAGAAUUAACCGACAUACACGUCCUCUCCACUGCAUUCAUAACUUCACUCUGUUCACUACCAGACUAAAUCUGUAAGAGAGCAAAUGCGUCACAGUGAAGUCCAUUGUUGUUAUCUCAAUAUCAAAGGAUUGUGGCAGGGGAUGCAAAGCCAUUCCUUGUGAGGUUUCGUUUAGUGCUCGUGAUGAUUGCAGGCAUCAGUGUUGUGAAUUAAGUACGCAAAUUCGGGGCAUUGCUGGGCUGCAGCAGGAUUUCAUGGCUUGAUGCAAUCAGAGCAAGGAAAAUUCUGAAGCCACGGUUCGUGUAUGCAAAUUAUCAGGAUGAGAAUCCAAAACCAAACUAUAUCUCAAUGGUCUGACAGUCAUGAAAACAAUAUCCUCUUUCAAAAACCUCCCAAUUUCUAGAACAACAACCUUCCCCUCCUUAAAAUCACCGUCCUGAAACACUCUCUUACACUCAUCAACCAAUACUUUAAGUUAAUUAACCAACUGCUGCAGCAUUUCCCUCGCGGUCUGCUGCAACAAAGUCACAGCGUGUUGCAGGUUUUGGUAUCUGUUUGUCGUCACCGGCGGUAUGCAUCUUUUGGAGUAUUUCCUUUUGCCUUCAAGUUGUUGCACUACCAUUUAUGUGUUUCACUUUGCAGCAGGUAUACAUUUGUAUGUCACUUUGCGGUUACAUUUUGAUUGCGGUUUCAGUCGUUUGGCUGGCUUGUGUUUGGUGCCGGCAUUGCUGUUUGUAACUGAUGUGUUUUAUUGCUAUUGCAAGUCAAGAACCAAAGUGGGUUCCAGCUGAUUUCCUUGAGACAGUGUAUUUUCAACAUCUUCUACUAGAUUACCCAUUUUACAUACAAUAGCAUUACCUUUGUUCAGGGAAUUUUCCUCGUUAGGGUGCAGCGCUGUUAUCCACUAUAGGCUUCACAUCAAGCUUCUGAAGAUCAUGCACUUUACCAGUGCUUUCAUGAUACCGAGCAAUGGACAGUGAAGACCCGCAUGCGUUGAGUGUUCUUUUCAUUCUAUUUUGAUUUAAGAAGUACUGUGAUGUUAUGCAAGUGUAAAAUGUAAACCGAUGCAAUUCUCGAUGUAAUGAGAUGACAUGGCUUAUAUGUUAAUGCCUUUACCUCA